rnacentral:rRNA from 1 species
CAGUCGCCGCGGGAAUACGAAGGGGGCUAGCGUUGCUCGGAAUUACUGGGCGUAAAGGGCGCGUAGGCGGACAGUUCAGUCGGGGGUGAAAGCCCGGGGCUCAACCUCGGAAUUGCCUUCGAUACUGGCUGUCUUGAGUAUGAGAGAGGUGUGUGGAACUCCGAGUGUAGAGGUGAAAUUCGUAGAUAUUCGGAAGAACACCAGUGGCGAAGGCGACACACUGGCUCAUUACUGACGCUGAGGCGCGAAAGCGUGGGGAGCGAACAGGAUUAGAUACCCCCGUAGUCCAUGUCUCUUAUAC